rnacentral:rRNA from 1 species
GAUGAACGCUGGCGGCGUGCCUAAUACAUGCAAGUCGAGCGAAUGGAUUAAGAGCUUGCUCUUAUGAAGUUAGCGGCGGACGGGUGAGUAACACGUGGGUAACCUGCCCAUAAGACUGGGAUAACUCCGGGAAACCGGGGCUAAUACCGGAUAACAUUUUGAACCGCAUGGUUCGAAAUUGAAAGGCGGCUUCGGCUGUCACUUAUGGAUGGACCCGCGUCGAAUUAGCUAGUUGGUGAGGUAACGGCUCACCAAGGCAACGAUGGGUAGCCGGCCUGGGAGGGUGAUCGGCCACACUGGGACUGAGACAAGGCCCAGACUCCUACGGGAGGCAGCAGUAGGGAAUCUUCCGCAAGGGACGAAAGUCUGACGGAGCAACGCCGCGUGAGUGAUGAGGCUUUCGGGUCGUAAAACGCUGUUGUUAGGGAAGAACAAGUGCUAGUUGAAUAAGCUGGCACCUUGACGGUACCUAACCAGAAAGCCACGGCUAACUACGUGCCAGCAGCCGCGGUAA